AGUGAACGCUGGCGGUAGGCCUAACACAUGCAAGUCGAACGGCAGCACAGUAAGAGCUUGCUCUUACGGGUGGCGAGUGGCGGACGGGUGAGGAACACAUCGGAAUCUACUUUUUCGUGGGGGAUAACGUAGGGAAACUUACGCUAAUACCGCAUACGACCUACGGGUGAAAGCAGGGGAUCUUCGGACCUUGCGCGAUUGAAUGAGCCGAUGUCGGAUUAGCUAGUUGGCGGGGUAAAGGCCCACCAAGGCGACGACCCGUAGCUGGUCUGAGAGGAUGAUCAGCCACACUGGAACUGAGACACGGUCCAGACCCCUACGGGGGGCAGCAGUGGGGAAUAUUGGACAAUGGGCGCAAGCCUGAUCCAGCCAUACCGCGUGGGUGAAGAAGGCCUUCGGGUUGUAAAGCCCUUUUGUUGGGAAAGAAAAGCAGCAGGUUAAUACCCCGCUGUUCUGACGGUACCCAAAGAAUAAGCACCGGCUAACUUCGUG
rnacentral:rRNA from 1 species